GUCUAUCUCUUGUCUGAGGAAUUCCAAAAGGACUGCCAAAAGACAGGCCAGUUCUUCUUAGCUUCGUUCCAGCCUAACAAGGAACCUUCUCUCAACGGAUCCCAGCUCGAAGACACGAUCCCAUAGCUCACACCAGCUAAAGCCGUACCAAAGAAGACGAACGAAACAAUAAACGGAACCCAUGUAGGCACAUCAACUUUCAAUCCCACUUUGAGAUAGU